rnacentral:rRNA from 1 species
GACGAACGCUGGCGGCGUGCUUAACACAUGCAAGUCGAACGGAAAGGCCUGCUUUCCCUUGUGGAUUGCGGGUACUCGAGUGGCGAACGGGUGAGUAACACGUGAGUGAUCUGCCCCCAACUUGGGUAUAAGCCUGGGAAACUGGGUCUAAUUCCCGAUAGGACUGCAGGGUGGUGCCUGUGGUGGAAAACGAUUUUCUAGUGGUUGGGGAUGAGCUCGCGGCCUAUCAGCUUGUUGGUGGGGUAAUGGCCUACCAAGGCGGCGACGGGUAGCCGGCCUGAGAGGGCGGACGGCCACAUUGGGACUGAGAUACGGCCCAGACUCCUACGGGAGGCAGCAGUGGGGAAUAUUGCACAAUGGGCGGAAGCCUGAUGCAGCGACGCCGCGUGGGGGAUGACGGCCUUCGGGUUGUAAACUCCUUUCGACCGCGAGGAAGCCACCUGGUUGGAAGGGUGGUGACGGUAGUGGUAGAAGAAGCACCGGCUAACUACGUG